rnacentral:misc_RNA from 1 species
ACACCAUUAAGCCCUGUCGCUUAGCGUUGGGAGCCCGCUGGCACUGCCUGCAGCUCCUCAAAAUUAGUGGCGGAGUCAGCGUAUACUCUAGGCGUAGUAAUUUCUAUCUCGCUUCUGUGUUGCGCUGGCGCCUGCCGUAAAACCACCAAUUUUACAAA